GAAAUGCGAUACGUAGUGUGAAUUGCAGAAUUCCGUGAAUCAUCGAAUCUUUGAACGCAUAUUGCGCCCGAGGCUUCGGUCGAGGGCAUGCCUGCCUCAGCGUCGGUUGACCCCUCUCGCCCGACCCUUCAGGGGGUCGGGCGGACCUGGCCGUCCCGCUGGCGACAGCGGGUCUGCUGCAGACCAGACGACGCGCAGCCUUGCUUACGCAAAGGCCGCUGGAUCGGUAGGUUCCCCUAGCAGGGUACAUGCCCGUCGAGUGGCUGGGCACCGGAUCACUGCGCGUCCCAACCACCGGAGCGGACGGGGGGCCCCACUCUCCCCCGCCCACUCCCCCUCAGUUCGACCUGAGUUCAGGCAAGACCACCCGCUCAACUUAA
rnacentral:misc_RNA from 1 species